rnacentral:tRNA from 1 species
GGCUUUAAAAUUAAAUUAUAGAAUGCAAUUCUAUAUAGGUAAACUUAGGAAUUUACUAAGGCCU